rnacentral:rRNA from 1 species
UACGUAGGGUGCGAGCGUUGUUCGGAAUUACUGGGCGUAAAGGGUGUGUAGGCGGACUGGUCAGCUAGAGGUGAAAGCCCGGGGCUCAACCCCGGAACUGCUUUUAGUAACUGCCAGACUAGAAAAGGUCAGAGGUCAGCGGAAUUCCUAGUGUAGAGGUGAAAUUCGUAGAUAUUAGGAGGAACACCGGCGGCGCAAGCGGCUGGCUGGGGCCAUUUUGACGCUGAGGCACGAAAGCGUGGGGAGCAAACGGGAUUAGAUA